CAGCAAAACUACAACUCCCAGCAUGUCCAGUCAGCUUUUGGCUAUCUGGGCAUACUGGGAGCUGUGGUUUUCAACAGCUGGAUGCACACUGCUUGGGAAACACUGCUAUACGGAGGCAGUCACAACAGAGCAGGCCGCAACAUAACAAAAUGUGAAAACGUUAAAGGGUCUGAAAACUUUUCGAAUGCAUUGUAUAUCUGCUAACGUAUUCUAUUGAACUGUAUGCACCCGCUUUAUAAAUCCAGCUCUCUCGGAGAAAAAUACAAUUUAUUCACGUUCCCUUUUACAGUAUUUCUGUUCACACGGCAAAACCGCUGAGUCUCCUUGCAAACAAUGCGAUCCUACAGAGCCAGUUGAUGGACAUGGACAGCUGCCAGUUCAAGAUCAGCAGGCCAGAUUUUAAGAUAUGAGACAGUAAAUAAACUUACAGUAAAAAAAAUCCUAUAAAUGAUAUGAUAGUUAAUAGAAAGAUAAUAGAUUUAGACUGCAGAUGAGAGGCAGUGUACUGGCAGCAACAGGGAGGCGGCGGUAGCCAGGAAGAAAACAGUGGAAGAGAUGGGUCCCUGCAGUUUUUGUGAGGAGGAGGAAGAACUGAUCAUUCACUUUUUGGAGAGAGGCUACAACCAGAUCCGGUCCAGGCAGAGAAGCAGGUCAUUGUUAAUGAGGUCCAAAAGGAGCUCAAGAGGAAAUUUCAUCAAAAUAUUACCCAUCUGACCAUUGUGAAAGAUGGUCAGAACUGAAGAGACGCAACAUUGAUCGGAUCAAAAGGAUCCGGAACCAACAUUGCCCAGAGGCUCAACUUCCACUUGCCAUACAACGGCAGAGGAGAGCAGCCAACGACGAGAUGGAGGUGGUGGUAAUGUCGGGAGAGGAGGAGGAGGAUGACGGAGACGGAGAGCAGGCAGGACCCUCCCAUCAGGAACCUGGUCCAGCAACACCACCUGAUUUCUCUUGAAAUUGCAAAUAAACUUGAGGAGCUGCAGCGGGAGAAUGAGAAGGGGAUGGCUUGUAUAGAGAGCCAGCAACGUAAAAUUGGACAGCAGCAGCUGCGUCAGCAAGCAAACAUUGAGAAGCUCAAGGAGAAGCAGAAAAAGGCAGUGCAAGAGCUGAAGGCAAUCCACAAUGAGCUGAAACUGAUGCCUGAAAGCAUGUAAAUAUUUGUUAUUUUUGUUUU